UUAAAAAGCUCGUAGUCGAAUGUAGAUUGUACAGGUGCGCGGACGUUUAGGUGUAUAACUUAUAUUGUCUGUACGCCACAAUCACCCUUAUGUAGUACGGUUGUUUUGGUUUCCAGAACAAAUUUACCGACUACAUACAUUACUGUGAACAAAAUAGAGUGUUCAUGGCAGGCCAAUUAGGCUUGAAUACCUCAGCAUGGAAUAAUAGAAUAGGACUUCUGGUUCUAUUUUGUUGGUUUUUGGAGCCGAAGUAAUGAUUAAUAGGGAUAGUUGGGGGCACUCGUACUCCGUUGUCAGAGGUGAAAUUCUUGGAUUGACGGAAGACGAACAACUGCGAAAGCAUCUGCCAAGGAUGUUUUCAUUGAUCAAGAACGAAAGUUAGGGGAUCGA
rnacentral:rRNA from 1 species